UGCUAAUUUAAGGUCAUAGCUUGACUCCUUUUAGAAUUGCUGAUUAAAAAGCGGUUUUUGCUCAUAGUAGUUGUCAUGUAACGCCACAUAUGGGUCUUCAUUUAUGGUACCCUCAAGAUUGGCAAGAUCUGAAAUAAGAUUGCACGUAGAAUGAACAACACGUGGCUUGGAGUUACAUGCUUGGGAAGAGGAUUGUUUUAGCUUAUG
rnacentral:misc_RNA from 1 species